rnacentral:rRNA from 1 species
GAUGAACGCUAGCGGCAGGCUUAAUACAUGCAAGUCGAGGGGCAGCACAGUGUAGCAAUACAUGGGUGGCGACCGGCAAACGGGUGCGGAACACGUACACAACCUUCCUUUAAGCGGGGGAUAGCCCGGGGAAACCCGGAUUAAUACCCCAUAGUAUAUCGAAAAGGCAUCUUUUUGAUAUUAAAGAUUUAUCACUUAAUGAUGGGCGUGCGUCUGAUUAGGUAGUUGGCGGGGUAGAAGCCCACCAAGCCUUCGAUCAGUAGCUGAUGUGAGAGCAUGAUCAGCCACACGGGCACU